GAAAGAUUUAAAAAAGAUGGAGAAAACACAAGAAAAGUAUUAAAGCAGUUUUAAAAGAGUGCCUUAGGAGUGCCUUUGCACUGAUUGAUAAAAGUAAGUGAUUAGUAUAGAAAGAAAAUGAAAAUAAUUCAAUAAUGUGAUAAGGUUUAAACAUGUAUUUCUCUUGUCAAGUUGGCUGUUGAGCUGUGAGUCUAUGCAAAUUAGCUGGAGCAGAGACACUUCCUGUGUGCGUGUGUGUCGGAGGCUUUCAGUUCAAGAGAGAGCGGUGGCUGUUGAAGAUUAUUUGGCGAAAUAUAUAAUGGCCUGGAAGAGAGUGAACUGACGGCGCUGACAAAAUUACCAAGUACGAAAAUCAGCUCGGGACCAGUACUCCUGCUGUUGGACAGAAAGACAUCAACUUGAGAUAUGACUGCACUAUGCUGUUCCUGGUGACCACAGUUAAUUCUACAAGACAUGCUGUGACACCAGGAGAGACAAGUCCUCCGUCACAGAUGGUGUGGUCAGUGAAGAUGGUCGCCUGCAGGUUCAAGCUCAUUGCAUCUCCAACCCACAUCCACUGCCACUGUACUUUACGGUGUGUUCACACCGAACGCGAUAAACGCCACCAAAACGCGCCAGACGCCCCUAGCUUGACGCGUGCAAAUUUGCACCUCGACGCGUGUCCAACGCGAAUUAUUCAUGCGCGUGAAGCAGAAAUGUGGGAGGAAGUUGUGCCAGACGGUAUGUUUGCAAGAUGGCAGCUGUUGAGCCAGCAUUUGAAGAGAGAGUCUCCCUUCUCUAUUUACUGUGGAGAGCAGAGCAGCGGCGUAAAGGACGUCCUCGCCGUACCUGGGUCCAUCAGGUCCUCCAGAAGCAUGAGCAGUUUGGUGAGUUUCACCAUUUGCACCAGGAGCUGCGUCUGGAUGACGGCCGCUUUCAGCGGUACCACCCUUUUUCUCUCGCCCAGUUUGAGGAGCUGCUGUCCCGCGUCGGUCCAAGCAUUGCCCGCCUAGACACCAACUACAGGCGCUCAAGCCCAUCUGCAGAGCGCCUGUUCAUCUCUUCUCUUGCUCUCGGCGAAGGCGGUCGCACUUUUCUCCUCUCCUCCUCUCCCUUAGCUUCCCUGCUUAGCCUCUUGUGUCCUUGUCUAGUCUCGUGUUUUUUUGUAUUACUUUUCCCUGGAACACUCUCUCACAGUCUGUUCUCUAAAACCUAAAAGAGGAAUUAUGGAUUUGAUCAACUGGUCCCUGAAUGCAAUUGACACCCUUUUCUCAACGAGAAGUCUGGGCUUGGGUGAGCCUGAGUGCUGACGAUAUCUACCUAUUUGGAACCAUGAUAACAGGGUUCUUACUGAUCGGAGCUGGCUUGGCCCUGGCUUAUCGAAGAAUUAAGGAAGCGGAACCGGCUGUUCAAACCCCCACAAGACCUCUGAGUGCAAACUGGAUUACAUCUGGAGGGGCUCGCUCGGAAUAACACCUCUGAGCGCAAAUUGGAUCACAUCUUGGGAAGCUCACUGCGGUCGUGAGUUCUCAGAAUCGGCUCUUUGAGCACAAGAAUGACAACAUCACGGAGCGUAAGUUUGAUAACAUCAUGGAGAAGCUCGCGGCUCUCCAAUGGGAAAUUGAGAGACCAGUGUCGGACUGUUAGAAUAGCUUUGAAAUUCAUAUGAGUUGUUCGCAGUAAAGUAAAAACCACCAUCACUUCAUGCGGAGACCCCUUUGGCGCGAGCUGCGGUCUCAAGGCUGGAGCUGAACAACAACACCCUGAUAACGACUGUGUUGAGACUGUUCUUCCCUUUCUAUGCAAGGCCACCUGGGUUGGCUGGAAGACUGUUUACUUAGCCUGGCAGGGCGAAGGACACUGUCUCAGCUGAACUCUGGACACACACACACACACACACACACACAGACAUAUAUACACAUGCAGAUGUACACUCAUCCCCCCUCCCCCGUCCAAACGCCUUCGACGCUUAUUCCCUUCCGAUGCUGACGGUGGAUCAUGGAGACCAGUGCAUAGGCUGCAGGCCCGGAUGUACUGUCUACAUUGGCUGUCUCUCACCCUUUACCCGCCCCUGUUGCUUCUCAUGUGUUUCUUUGGUGUAUUAAGAGUUUUUUCAUGUGCUAUGUGCAGAGGUGUUUUUUUCUGUUCUCAAACUGAUCUCCCUGUUGGAGCUCAGUCUGGGGGGAGUUAUUUUUUCUCCUUAUCUUUCCUCAUGUUGUGCUUUUCCAUGUUAUACCCCUCUGACCUGUCUUCCCCAUGUGAUGUUUGUAUAAUGUAUGUAUGGUUGGAAGGGUAAGAUGGCGCUGGCACGGCUGGCAGCCUUAACCCAAUUUCCCUCGGGAUGAAUAAAGUAUGAUCAAUCAAGC
ensembl:lncRNA